UGUCUGCAUGUGUGUGUGCAAUAGUUCAGAUCCAGAGGUCAAGAAAUUGGUUGUUAUCUGUUGGUUUUCCACACAGCUUAUCAUUAGAUUUUGAAGUUACUGUUGGUGAAGAUGUUUGCUGAAAAACAGCGUGGAGCUUAUAUUAAAAGUCAGAAGAGAAGUUAAAAGUGCAUCAAACUACCAGUUUGAUCAUGAGUGAUUUUUUUCAUGAGCUUGUGGUUGUAUGAAUUAUAAGUAGGAGCUUCAAAAUUACUUUUAGUUUCAUUAUAUAGAAAUGAAAGGUAACUAGCGAAUUUUGGCUAUUUUUGAGUACCACAGAAGAAAGUCAUUAGUUGGAAACAACACGGGAGUGUGGAAACCUACGAUAUUAUUAUUAUUAUUUUUAUGUGAAAUGAUUCUUUAGAGAGGAUACACAUACUUUAGGAUAUUUAUAUACAUAUUUUUGUCUUAAAAGCAACCAAUAACAAACCAACUAUCUCCCCAAAAAAUGGCUGCAGCACAUAUUUCUUUUUUAAUGUUUGUCUUUUAGGGAAUUCCCAGAUGUGUUGUUCAAACUUUCCCUUAGCCUUGUUUAGUAUGGAUUGUAUAUUACUGCUUUUACAAUACGGUUAAAUGGCAAGCAUUGCUGGGUACUUUUUACAAGGUCUCUCUCCCUCUUUUUCUCUGUCUGUUUCUGUCACCGACAAGGUCACUGGCCUCUGAUAUUUCGGGUUAACUGCUGACUCAGGAAGGGUGAAAGAUAACCAGCUGUUAAAAAACGUAGCAACACAAGACAUAUACGAAAACUUUUACUUCCCAUAUAUGGGUGAAUCGUGAAAAGAAUACCAAAUUACACCACAAAAUUUGAAUGUAUUCUUCGUUCUUGUAAGUCUUUCAUUUAAAUUGUGCACAAAGUAAUUUAAACAGCUUUAACAGUGAAUCAUAAAAGAAUAUUUAAUCUGUAUAAAAGGCAGCACAUACCUACUAGUAUGAAUACAAGUAUCAUAACUUGGUUUUAUCUUUGGCAUUAGAUGUUUCUUAUUAUUGUAUGGGAUGUGUUCUUGUUUGCUAUUCUAAGGAAAAUAUAUUUUAUUUCCAAUGUGUUAAAUAGGCGCAAUAUUUCUAAAAAUAAUUGUGUACUUUGACCUUGGAUGGAACAGGGAGUUUUGGAAGGCCUAACCAUUGGUUAACUCCAUUUAUUGCUUUAUUGCUGAUUGCUAGGUAGCAAGGCAUGUUUUUUAACCACAAACAUAUUCCUCAAGCGGCUUCUCUCAUGCUCUGGAACCAUAUCAGAAAACUUUAUAAGUUUGAUUAGUGUUACGACAUUUGAGAUGAUGUGAGCUUUUAGCACGUGGUAAAUUUAAAGCCCUGGGGUUGAACACGAAAACAACUGCACGUGUUAGCGUUUCUGAGAACUUGUCGAACGCUCUUCAGCUGUUUCCUGUUUACUGUUGAAGCGAACACCACAAACCUGCUGUCAACCGAGAAAGGCAGAAGAAGAGCAAGGGAGAGAUUGUUGUGCCGGUGUGAUCAGCGCAUUUCAAGAUUUGUUUAGUGCUGCAAGACUGCAGCGUUGUGUAAAACCAUCUAUCCGUGGUGUAGCAGAAUGCAACAGAUCUGCAUCAACAUAUUUCCGUGAUGCAUACUUGGUUUAUUGAGUAGGAAAUUUUAUAAAGUCAUUGGUUAUCGAAACACAAGAACUCAUUUUUCUUUCGUACGACAGCAAUGUUUCUUUGAUCACAAAAUGCGAGACGUACUUUCUUUGUGGUUUAUAUAUCAAGCAACAGUAGUGCUGUUGUGCAAGUUCGCACUUCAUUUGGUUCCCCUAAAUGUCAACUUUCAGAUCCAGAGUGGUUUUGUUCUCUGAGCAGCUCAGUCUUGACCCAGAUACGCUUCUCCACGUUUUUAUUAUUGCCGCUGAGACAGAUUAGUAACUUAUUAACUCGGAUGGUUUAAUUCAUUCACCCUGCAAGCUUAAUGCAGAUUCUGUAAACAACGUUUGACACCGUAGCAAAAGAGCAAAGCUUUUAAUGAAAAAUAAAAAGCCAAACUAAUUUGAGCCAAUGCAGACGGCUAUCAUUACUUGUAGCAGCAUCUCAGAUGUCAGAUUUUGGACCUCACGUAAAGUUUACAAGUACAAAACGUACAUUUUUGUACAUUUUAAAUAAUCCUGAAACAUUGAAUUGGACGUAUUACAACGUAUAAAAUGUAAAAAUGGCUACUUAUUUUUUGCAAAAAAACGUAAAAUAUUUACAACGUUUUUAUCUCAUUAAUAUACUUGUACCAAUGGGUUUCAAUAAUUGUAUUGAUAAGCUAUUUUUUAGACCCCUUAAAGUCCCAGUGAAAUAAAAAAUGACAACUCUUAUUUUUUUUGUGAAAUAUUGCAGCAUUUAAAGAAAAUAGCUUAUCUAUGUGGGUCAUUGUCUUUUUAAAAUUCAUGUACUUCAUUUCAUUCCGCAUUCACUGAAAUGACUAUCCAUUUCAAAUGAAUUAGACGGCUUGGGCAGAGCAUCCUUUAACUCCUCCCCUUCAACCGUCAAGCUGUUUUUACACAUCUAAUCAAUUCGCAGUGAAAAACGCAAGCCAUGGCCGCUAAUUUGCUCCUUUCGAAUUCGUUUUCACUCGGAAAUGUCUCAUUUAAAAACGAUUGUAACUUCCUGUUCCCGGGAAUUUAGGCUACCCCAAAACCUACCCAUUUUAUAUUGAAGUUAAAAAAAUAAAUGAAAUGUAAUAGACCGAAAUAUGCAGGAAAAUUACUAUUUUAGUAACAAUAUUGCAAUAAAAGAUAUUUUAUAGUCUCAAAUCAAACUGCUACCUCUAAAGUUAACCAUACAUUUCUCAAUAAUAUGUAGUGUACAGUAUAAAGCAAAACACGACGGACAGAUGAGUGCAAUCACAAUAAUUUAUCACACAGCACCGAAAUCUUUUCAUUAUAAGUAAAUGAGUAAACUUUAAUAAAUGCAAUUGAAAACAUAAUGCCAUUGAUAUGACAAAUAAAUACAAUAAAAUAAAAUAAAUAUUAGUGCAGCCAUUAUGAUAUUCACAAGGAUUCACUUGUAAGUUUGUGAAGUUUGUAAUUAGUGAAGACGUUAAGGUGUUGUAAACACGUCAGUAUUUUGCGUUUUAGUGUUUGUGCAAAUGUAAGUAAAUAAACGUUUUAUAGAACCACAUUUUAUGCCAAAUACAUACGAAUUCUCAUGAGAUCACAUGGCAGCAUAUUGUCAUCCAAAUGGUGACGAAUGUGCCUCACUCACACUGGUGUGUGAUACGCCCUGAAUGUGCUUUCAGUUAGGCUUCCUUUAUUUCUUAUAAUCAUAUGUAAAUAUACCAAUAUACACACCCAUCCAUCUCCCAGGGCUUUUGUACUGUCUGAAUCUCACUGGCCUACUUUUGCCUGCCAGACCAGAAUAAAAUCCCUGCUGCUGCUGACAGAACCCCUGUAAAUCUUUCGUCUCGCAAACUCAAAAAUAUUCCUACUCCUCCAUGACAGAACCGUUGUAUUUCUGUUCUUCUCACUAACACACAACCUGCUAUUUUUAUGCCUUUAUUCAGUGUCCUCCCUUAUGUAUAGAGUUUCCAUUCCGGAUUUUGAGAAGACCUUUCGUGCAUCUCGGCUUGGUGUGCGUGUAUUGAUCUGCAUGUCAGGACGGUGUGAAAGCGUUUAAUAGUUGCCCGUAAGGCUGACUCUUAAGUGUAAGUCAGAUCUUCACAGGUUGUGUGAGAAUGUCCUAGUUACAGUAUUCCUCUAUGUGAGACAAAGUAAUCUUAGACCUGAAGCUGCAAAAUGCAUACGCAAAUGUGCAGUAUUUGUAAUUUAACCUUUUUGUUUAUGUCUCGCAGGCUGCAAUAAAUCUACUAAAGUCCUCUUUUGGUGUGAAAAACAUGCAGUAUGAGAAAACAUGAAUAUUACCAUUGAAAGAUUUGAUGAAAAGAGAUGAACUAGAUCAAGUUAAGUAAUAAAAUUUGACUCCCUUUAUAAAAAGUGAUAAAUCAAUCGUGAUGAUAUUUCAUUGUAUCUCUCAAUGUUCAUUUUAUUCACGCUCCUAUUUAUUAUCAGUACAUCCGUGAUAUAAUUCUUAUAUGAAUUUCGGCUGCUUGCUUCUCAAGUGUCAAGAGUUGUUUUUUGGUUUGGUUUAUUUCGGGCUCGACGUGCUGCGGUGCUGCUAUGGCAACAGAAAGUUUGUCCCAGAGCCAUUGUGCACGCGCGUGUACGUGUUUUUCAUGCAGAAAGGAGGAACGUGCUCUUUCGGCCUUUGAGGUUGAGCAAGAGCCAUUGUGACAUUGGUCCAACAAUCUCAGCGUGAGUCACGUUUGGGGGCUACUGUUGCCAUGGUGUUGCCACGGCUGCGAGAUCUUCUAAUGAGUCACAAAUUAGGAAAUUAAGCUGAAUAGUGUUGGUACCAUAAACUUGGGUUAAAAUUCCCUGCACGAGUCCUUCAGACGAGUUGUAAAUUUCACUUCAGUGUUAUGAGGAAAUAAAGGAUGUGUUCUGUUAUUGCGGUUUUGAAAAGCUAUUGUUUGGUCAUGUUUAUAGACCACAGUGGAUGGGUGGAGAGAGCUAUUUGUUUGUAUGAUUUUGCUUUUGGGGUGUUGGUUAUUUCACCCUGCAAGCGUGAGAUCUUCAGGAAGUGUGUGUUACAUUAUAUUAUUACACGUUAAGCGGUAUGCGAAAAUGUGUGUGUUAAGGGUUCAUCUUGAAGAGAUGCUUUGGUAGCUUUCCAGGAAGAGAGAGAGGAUUGUGGAAGGCUUUGAAUGAAUGAGAUUUCUUACAGAUGAUACAUAAAAAAGCCAGAUGGUGUAUAAAUUGUGUGACCUAGUCCUUAGAAAUUGGACAAAGAAAGGAAGGCAGACAAGAUUGGAGCUUAGGUUAGCAUUCGAUGUAACAUUCAAUCAAUAAAACUUCUUUGGGCCUAUUUUCAGCCUGUCCUUUCAACUGUUUUUCCGACUCAUCAUUGAUAGACAACCGACCGAUUGAAUCUUUCAUCAGUUCAAAGCUUUGUUGAGCUUCUGACACAUCCCCCACCACCCCCUGGGUCCUUAAAUAGAGGUGGUCUGGAUGGUUUCUUAUAGUGGGAAAAAUACAGAUCAGAGAGAGGCAGUCAAUAGUACUGAUCUAGAGAGCUUUUGUUUGAUAUACCACUAUAAACUAGACAAAUGCAGAAAGCGUAGAUGACUUAAUAUUUUUAUUGUCGUAAGUAUACUGUUAUGUGUAGACUGAAAGGGGUGAGUAGUGUAAUAGCUAAAGCUCUUCUAGGAAUAAAAUCACAUAACAUUUGAUUGUCUUUAUGAUAUUGGAUGCGAUUCAGACAUUUACUGAAAAGGACAACAAAGCACAGUAAAUCAUGGAACAGCUGAACUGGUAUUAAGUGUUAUUUAACAGGCUUUGCAAGAAAAUAUUAAGCCAAGCCACCACGAAUGAGAUAUCGUAAACAGAGUCGCUGACAUAACCGAGGGAGCGCAGGGAAUUAGCCAAGAAAUGCUUGGAUACUGAUGCCGUUUUAGGUCUGUUACCAUAGCAACAGGCCAAAGCCUCGCAUAUGUGUGUGAUGAUCUGAUAAUCAUUUUUCAGGUGCAAUGAAAAUGUUCCCCCAUGAUAUCAGUCACAUGUUGUGGUUGCCGUAGCGCUUACUGAUAUUUCCGGUCAAUUUACAAGGUAGGAAACUUUUUAUGAUGCGGAUGCGUGUUGCCUUUAGAUCUCCCAUACCACCAACACCCCCAACUUAAAAAAAUAUGUUUUAAAUGAACUUAUAAUAACAUGAACAGUUCAACCAACUAAACAAAUUCUGUCAUCAUUUACUCGGCAUCGAAUUGUUCCAAAGUUUCCAAGUUUUUCCUAUUGUAUUCAAUGGUGGCCAAGUACUGUUGGGUAACAAGUUUUCUUCUAAAUAUUUUUCUCUGUGUUCAUCAGAACAAAGAAAUGUAUACAACUCGAGGGUGAGUAAAUGAUGACAAUUGUUAUUUUUGGGUGCACUGUCCCUUUAAUGCACAAAGAUCAAAGUGAGGAUCGUCAUCAGAACAUACCGUUAGCUCAGUAUGAACAAAACAUCCAAUGGAAGUUUACCACUAUGAUAUACAUAAACAGACGUGCUGUGGGUGUGUGAGACAUAUUGGAUAUUAAAGAAGUCUGAAUGCUAUGUCUCAGAGCAAAUGUGGGAUUGAGGUCCUGACAGAACGAUUUUGUUUGUGUGAGACCACUCUUCUAAGUCUGUGUGUGUCUUAUAUAAUGGCUUUGCUUUGGAUGAUGCAAGGUGUAAACAAAUAACCCCAAUUUGUGCAUAUCUUUACUAUCUGUACUUUUCUCCUUUUAAACCCCCCCCCCUCUCUCUCUCUCUCUCUCUCUCUCUCUCUCUCUGAUUUCCUGUAAUGUUUAUUCCCACUUAAUGUUUCCAUUUCCUUCACACAUCAUUUGCACAGCAUCUAGUCCAACUCGGCCUUCAAUGCGCAAUGAAUGAUGAGUGUGACCCGGUGUAAAGAUUUGUGGUGUAACAUUUAAAGGGGAUGAAGGCAAGUCAUGUUUAUACACUUGGCUUUACCUUUAAGGUUUAAAUGUUUGAAAAUGUCUUCACAAAUACAUAGAAAUGACUUGAACAGACAUUUGAGUUGUCAAAAUGAUGUUUUGUUGUAAAUCCGCCUCUGUCAGCAGGUUUGGUUGAGGAUUAGAUUUGUGGUGGAGGUAGAAUAUAGUCGAUUUUAUUAUCCUAGUAUGAAAUUUAUCUCAGGUCCUCACUAACACAGCUGUGUAAAAGUCUGUAUGCAUGUGUGGAUUUAAGAAAUGUGUCUGGAUUUCAAGGCUCUGGAAACUCUGUCACUCUGAAUAUGUUGAGGUGUGGUUCCCGGUUUCUUUUUUAUAAUGAUAGAGUCCAUUCUGUAAAAUAGGCUUGAGGAAAAACAUUUACCAGAACUUAAAAAAAAAAAUCUCAGAAAACAUCUACCAUCUCCCUUCCCAUUCUGAUGCGGUUUUAGGCACUUUUUUCCCUAGAAUUUUUUAGAUUUUAGAUACAAACUUGUGGUGACUUUGUUUAACUGGAUGAAACCGUAAAUUCUCUGACUGUAUAACGUUUCCAAAACGUUCCUUUCACUUUCAUCUACUCAAACAUCCCCUCCAAAAUGACUGCCAGUCACUUUUAUUUACUUUCCCUUUGAUGGACUUGUAAAGCACGGGGAUUUUUCAGUCCUCCCAGGUUUCUUAUUGGCUCAUCGUCUCACACUGUUUACCAGCAAAACGUCCUUGGAUUCCUCACGUACAGGACCUUAUUUAGAACAGCCUGACGUGACAUACCCACACACGCCAGUAUCUGAUGACAUAGUGUGUUGAAAGAGAGAAACCAGCAUUGGUCAAACAUUAUUAAGUGACUCGCUCUUCAAACGGGUCUUGGGGAAAUGAGUCUUCUCUGUCACUCCUGUCUGAUGUGUUUUGUUGGUUUUACUGUUUAACGUUUUUUAAGGGUGGAUUUGCAACCAAGUGUAAAACGCCCACACAAAGAUCUUAAAACUGUAAAACUGACACUCUUUGUGUCUUAUCACAUUCAUGAUGAUUCGCAAACUGGACUUCGAUAUAAAUUUGUGAUUCAAGUUCAUCAAAAUGAACCACACGAAAGGACUGAUUUGUGGAAACAAUCCAUAUGGAUCCAUCACCAAUAUGAUUCACACGUCGCUGCCAAUAGACAGAGAGCCGAAGUGUACGGGUACCAGUGGGAGAGAAUAUAAAGGCUAACAUAUGUCCACGCUGAGCUAAUGGAAAAUUUUCUCUACCCUGUGGAAUAAAGCAGGCAAACAGCAAACAACAACAAUCUCCUAAAGACAAAAGAGUCCCUUUGCCCUGUUGCUGUGACGACCACCCUCGAAGCGUUGCCCACACUGGCAAAUUCUGGCAUCAAUCUCAUCUCUUUUCUGCCCAGCCAGACAGCAACAAAGCGCAGGCUGUCCACCGCCUCCCCCUCAAGCCCUCCAAAGUGCUUUUGUGUGGGCAGGCUUGUCUUUUUACCAGACGCUCACUUUGUGUGUUUCUAUGUGUAGACGGCUCUUGUUUCCAGGGAAUGUGUCUGUGUGCAGGACCUCAGGGCUGCUGGAAUUAUGCCUGACCUGGGUGUUUGCUAGAGGUCCGCUCUACUGGUUGUGUAUACGAUCGAAUGUGUGUUUGGGUGUAUUGAUGUGUGAAUGUUUGUCAGCUAUUGUGUACUUACCUGUCUUCUGUCUUUUGUUCUGACUGAUCUCAAUGCACUUCUAUGGAAACCGGACACCCCACACUUUGUACAAACAAGCAAUGGCUGUUAUAAAGUUAUGUCUAUCAAUUUGUUGUUUAAAUUACUUAGCAAGAACUCUGGUCCAGAAGCACUUCCGUUUUGGUUUUAUUUGUUAUUAUUUUUUAAAUCGCAUUAAAGAACUGAAACAGGAAGUUUUUCUGGACCACAGAUGAAACAGGGUUGUUUACGUCAUCUAAUGUCAUCUAUUGUUUGGAGGCCAAAUUGUAUCCAAACAUGAACUAAAUGUUCUCCUAUUUGGAGAAUUUAGGUUUGUUAUUGAUUCAAAAGAUAAUGAUAGAAAAUGUGUCUUGUUUUGUCUUUUAAACGUUAAAAAAAUAUUUUGUAAUAAAUGUUUAUAAUUUCCUUUUA